rnacentral:lncRNA from 1 species
GUCAGGGGGACAGGCAGGCUUGCCUCCCCCAGGCCCCCAGGCCCCCAGGGACUUGGAUCGCUUGCCCCUCUCCUGUUCCAGGCUGGGAGGUUUUCCAGCCAAGGGCCUCUCUCUUUCCUUCCUUUCAGACACCAGGCACCACUGUUUCCUAGGACUUAGCUUCUCUCCUUCCUGCACCCCUGACCCCGCCCACAGCUCAGCACCUGGGGGUCACACAGAGCAGCGACGGGCCACCUGACUGCCCGGAAGAGCCAUGUCCACAGCUGGGCCUGGCCCAAGUCGGGUAGGGGCCGCAGCUCCGAACGUGGCAAAGGCCUCUCCCUGGAAGGAGCUGGGCUGCCGCAGGAGGAGGGGAAUUUGGCCUUGACUCUGCGCCAGGCAGACAGGCCUGGCAGGAAUGAGGAAGUCCAGAGGGAGAACUCUGUUUUCUUAGUGCAGAUUCUGGACCCUGGAGGACCUGAGCCCCUAAAAGGCCGACCCAAGCUGGGGUGAGGCCACCCCUCCACCCCUCACCUAGAGAAGCUAACAGGACUCUCUCCCAACAGAGCCCUGAAACCUGCUGCCCCCGUGCUCAACCUCACUCCUGCCCUCCUGCUGCCCUCUGUUGCCCAGAGACAGCCGCUGUGUGCCAGGCAGCUUGGCAGGAUGGGCAGCAACCCAGGAAGCUUGGCUACCUGCAUCCCUGGGGACCCAAGCUUGCCGAGCCUGGCAUGGAGGAACCCUUCUGAGGCUUGCAGAUCCCUGAGCCAGACUCUGCCUGGGCUCUCUGUCCCCAGCAACUUUUCCCAAACAUGCUGCCCAGGACUCCCGGUGUCCAGGGAGGCUGGGCAGGGGCCACUCACGCAGCAGCAGCCUUGGAGACCCUGUAUACUGGCCUGGCUGGGAACAUUAGAAGGGACCGAGGCGGCGAGAUGUCUAAAAUAGGAAGACGCCGGGGAUGCUUGGCCUGGCUGCCCGCGAUGCUGGCUGCAGGGAUCUGGCCGGGCUGUGCAGAUGGAAAAGCUAAGAGGUGAGGCAGAGACAGGGCUUAGCAUCUGGAAGCCGGUUCCAGGGCCCCAGGGACCUGUGGGAAGCGGGGAGGCUGACCCACUUGUGGGAGGGGACAGGGGUCUGCUCUGCUCGCCACCCGGCACCCUAAUCCCAGGGGCUUCUCCCUGGCCCUGCCGGAACCUCCCACACAAAUCUGUUCUCAGACAUUUCCUGCAGUGUGGGGGAUGCACAAAUUGACUCAUCCAUCCAUUCAGUUAGUCACUAAAUAUUUUUUUGAGCAUCUAGUCCUCGCCAGACACUGUGCCUGCUGCUAGGUCUGCAGCAGGGAGCAAGGCGCAGUGUCUUGCCCUCUGCAGAGGUAAACAACUCGCAGGUAAAUAGGUCAUGGCAACACGGUGUGGGAGGUCACGUGCUGCAGGAGUACAGAGAAAGGGCCUCACCUGCAUGGGAGAGGUGGUCAGGGAAGGAUUCCUGAAGGAAUGGGCACCUAAGCUGGGGCCUAAAGGAUGUGUAUGAGAUAGCCAGGUAAAGAAGGAGGAGUGAUUGCCUGUGCGGUAGCUUUAAGAGUACACAGGAACUUCAGGAAAGUUCCAGCUGGUUGGAGCAGAGAGGUUGAGGGGCUGGGGAGAGAUGGGGCUAGGGAGGGAGGCAGGAGCAGGUCGGGCAGGGCCUAUGGGGGCGGUCCCAGGCCUACCCUGAGGCUGAUCCCGGGAGUGACCUCAUCCCAGUCACCCUUGGAAAGGCCUCCCUGGUCAUUGUGUAGAAGAAGGUGGCUGAUGGGCCAGGGCUGGCCUGAGGAGGCCGUGGCUUGGGCACUAUUUGCUAAGUAUCACCAGAGGUGGCAUUGUUUGGAGUGUUCACCCACGGUCUCAUGUGGGCCUUGCAAUCGUCCCAUUUCACAGAGCAGGGCAGAGCACAAGGUGAUGUGACUUGCCCAGGGUCACCACCGUGAGUGACCACAAAGCAGGCCUGGACCCUGCGGGUUACAACCUCAGUACAGGGGUGAGAGGAGGAGGAAGAUGUAGUGAUUCAUUCUACAUCUUGCUGUACCACAAGCCCAGUCAGAAAAUGGGCCCGUUAAUGGGCUUGCGGGCUGCUAUGGUUCGGGUCUAAAAUGUCCCCCAAAAGGCUCAUGUGUUCACAGCUGGGGCUUUUGGAAGGUGACUGGGUCACGAGAGUGCUAGCAUUACCAGUGGGUUCAUCUGUUGAUAGACUCAUAAUCAAUGGCAUUAUUGGGAGGUGAUAGAAACAGGAGGUAGGACCUAGUCAAAGGGCAUGGGUCAUAGGGCUAUGAAUUUGGGGACUAUACCUUUUCCUCUCUCUCUCUCUCUCUCUCUCCCCCCUCUCUCUUUUCCUAGCUGCCAUGAUAGAAACAGCUUCCCUCCACCAUGCCAUUAUGUUUCUCUCUCAUCUCAGGCCUAAAAGUCGUGGAAUCAGCUGACCAUGGACUGAAACCUCUGAAACCAUGAGCCAAAAUAAAUGUUUUCUACUUUAAGUUGAUUUCCUCAGGUAUUUUGUCAUAGCACCAGCAAGCUGGCUGACACACGGUGAGGUGGAGGGAAAGCUUCACUGGAUCCUAAUCAGGGAUGAUCCCCCCUGGGUGAGGAGGUGCCUGACUUGGGACAGACAGAAGAGCAGGUUGGGCCGGGGAUUUAGCCGCCUGCUUUGCAAGCUCAAGGUCCUGAGUUCGAUCCCCGGUACCAAAAAAAAAGAGCAGGAUGGGUGGGCUGAGCAGGGAGGGCCCCCAGGCUGAGGGGAUGGUAGGAGCAAAGGCACAAAGGUAACUCUCCAUGGCUGGAGAAU